rnacentral:rRNA from 1 species
GAUGAACGCUGGCGGCGUGCCUAAUACAUGCGAGUCGAGCGAACGGACGAGAAGCUUGCUUCUCUGAUGUUAGCGGCGGACGGGUGAGUAACACGUGGAUAACCUACCUAUAAGACUGGGAUAACUUCGGGAAACCGGAGCUAAUACCGGAUAAUAUUUUGAACCGCAUGGUUCAAAAGUGAAAGACGGUCUUGCUGUCACUUAUAGAUGGAUCCGCGCUGCAUUAGCUAGUUGGUAAGGUAACGGCUUACCAAGGCAACGAUGCAUAGCCGACCUGAGAGGGUGAUCGGCCACACUGGAACUGAGACACGGUCCAGACUCCUACGGGAGGCAGCAGUAGGGAAUCUUCCGCAAUGGGCGAAAGCCUGACGGAGCAACGCCGCGUGAGUGAUGAAGGUCUUCGGAUCGUAAAACUCUGUUAUUAGGGAAGAACAUAUGUGUAAGUAACUGUGCACAUCUUGACGGUACCUAAUCAGAAAGCCACGGCUAACUACGUGCCAGCAGCCGCGGUAAUACGUAGGUGGCAAGCGUUAUCCGGAAUUAUUGGGCGUAAAGCGCGCGUAGGCGGUUUUUUAAGUCUGAUGUGAAAGCCCACGGCUCAACCGUGGAGGGUCAUUGGAAACUGGAAAACUUGAGUGCAGAAGAGGAAAGUGGAAUUCCAUGUGUAGCGGUGAAAUGCGCAGAGAUAUGGAGGAACACCAGUGGCGAAGGCGACUUUCUGGUCUGUAACUGACGCUGAUGUGCGAAAGCGUGGGGAUCAAACAGGAUUAGAUACCCUGGUAGUCCACGCCGUAAACGAUGAGUGCUAAGUGUUAGGGGGUUUCCGCCCCUUAGUGCUGCAGCUAACGCAUUAAGCACUCCGCCUGGGGAGUACGACCGCAAGGUUGAAACUCAAAGGAAUUGACGGGGACCCGCACAAGCGGUGGAGCAUGUGGUUUAAUUCGAAGCAACGCGAAGAACCUUACCAAAUCUUGACAUCCUUUGACAACUCUAGAGAUAGAGCCUUCCCCUUCGGGGGACAAAGUGACAGGUGGUGCAUGGUUGUCGUCAGCUCGUGUCGUGAGAUGUUGGGUUAAGUCCCGCAACGAGCGCAACCCUUAAGCUUAGUUGCCAUCAUUAAGUUGGGCACUCUAAGUUGACUGCCGGUGACAAACCGGAGGAAGGUGGGGAUGACGUCAAAUCAUCAUGCCCCUUAUGAUUUGGGCUACACACGUGCUACAAUGGACAAUACAAAGGGCAGCGAAACCGCGAGGUCAAGCAAAUCCCAUAAAGUUGUUCUCAGUUCGGAUUGUAGUCUGCAACUCGACUACAUGAAGCUGGAAUCGCUAGUAAUCGUAGAUCAGCAUGCUACGGUGAAUACGUUCCCGGGUCU